AUGCAUCCAAAGGCUCCUUGCAUCCUCUGCUUUCCUUUAUCUAUUUAUUCCCUCGACUCGUACUUUUCCGGUAAUAAAAAGGUGAAUUCUUUACUGCUGAGCCACCAGGGACGCCUGUGGAACCGUUACUUACCAGCAAGCACUAAUAUGACUGUGGGUAAGUUAGCAUCCUGUUUAUCCAUAAGGGUACUAAUACUUACUUGUCAGAAUCCUAAAUUACUUAAUGAGGUACCAUUUAAUAAAACCUUGUGCAGUUCCUGUAAUAUAAUUGGUACUCACUGUUAUUUUCCUAUUAUUAUUUACUUACUUAUUCAUUCAUUUAUUGAUUUACUCAUACAUUUGGUAAAUAUUUAGUAAGAAUGGAGUGUCAGACAGCCUGGGAAGUGUUGAAGAUACAAGUUAAGACUUAGCCAUGACCCUCAAGAGUCUCACUGUUUACUGAGGGUGAAGGACAAGUAUGCUGAUGACAUUUCUAGAGAAACAUGCUCUGGGAAGUUUGCUGAAGGAGUAUAGAAGGACAGAAAAUGGGCAUGUAACCCAGCAUAGGAUGGAAGAGAGUCAGGGAGGUCUUCCUGGAGGAGACGCUACUUCUGUUGUAUAUUCUUAUAAAUCCAUGGUGUUGGGGGUAGAGUUAAAGGGAAAGCCAUGUUCAAUGAUCUGGUGGUGGAGAGCCUGGCAUGUUAAAAAAUACACAGGGAAUUCAGGACCCCAUGCAUGGAAAGAAGUGUCUAGACCUACACAUCUGCAGUUCAGGAUGGGGCUGUGGAUACAGAUGUAAAGCAUAUCAGCAGACAAAUAUCACCCCUGGGAAAUAUUCCUGGGAUCCUCCUCCCUCUGAGAAUGUAAACAUUGGCACCAAGGUGGUAUAGGUGCUAAUAUUUAUUCCCAGGCCAGAAAGGCAAAGCAGAAAGGGUAUGAAAAAAGAAUGAUUUAAUUUAAAGCAGCUUUAACCAUCUAUUCUCCCUCUUCUCUUUCCAAUAAUGAUGUGGAGACCUAAGAAAUUGAGGCGUGUAAAUAAAAUGUGAAAACUGAAAGCCGUUUCCUCAAGUCUGCUUUGUACAGCUUUUUCUUUCUCUCUCCAGACCCAACACCCAUCCUUGUCCUGCUAGAGGAGUUUCACUUCUUCUUUCACUCUCAACUUGAUCUGACAUUUUUUGCCUGGCCACUGAUGAUGUUUCAGAGUUCCCAGAUCUUAUUGGACAGUGGGUGAGGGGUAGCCCUUUUCUACUGUGGGGUAGCCAGAGGUCACAAUCAUGUUUUCUAAACAGAGAGACUCUUGGAACCUGCAGAAAUAUCUGAAGGGAGAAGAGAAGGUCAGGGCUUUUAGUCUAUUCCAUCAGGUUGCAUUCUUCCCUCUUCAUAUUCAUUCUGUUUAUAGAAAAGUUUGUCUACCCCACAAAGUAUAUUUAAACAAUAAUUAGUUUUACCAACUUUAUUAACUAUCUAUUAAGAGCUUCAGUUAAAAGAACAUGAUUUAUGUUAAGCUUGUUGAAACAUUGGAAUGAGUUCCUGGAUCCCAUUACUUGUGUAGACACUUCUGCAAAGCCAAGUUCUCUAGGCUGGAAACUCCUGGAAUAAAAUGGGAUCAUGUGAAAUUUAUCAGUGAAUGAAGGGACAGUAAAUGUUCACUGAAAACCAGUAAAGAAAUUAACUUUUUACAGACUUUUUACUUUGAAGUACUUUACUUGGAGCACUUUAAAUACAUAUUGUAUUUUAAAAAAUGGGUUUUAUGGAGAUGUCCUGAGACUUUCAGAGAGAGCAGGGAUUAACUUGAAAUGUUAGGAGAUCAGAGUGAUCAAGAAAAUCCUCUGAGCACGCACAGUUUUUGUAUUCUCUCUCUUUUUAAAAAAAUUAUUCAUUUACUUGGCAGUGCCAGGUCAUAGCUGCAGCGGGUGGGAUGGCAUGGGAAUCCUUUGAGGAGGCAUGUGGGAUACAUUUCCCUGACCAGGUUGAACCUGGGUCCCCUGGAUUGGGAGCUUGGAGUCCUAGUCACUGGACCACCAGGAAGGUCCCCUCUCUUUUUGUCCCCAAUCCAAAUCUGAAGAUUCAGGGGUAAACAGCUCCUUAGGCAUUUCUGAGGUCACACUAGUGAGGGUCCAGGGGUAAGGGUGAGGAAAUAGAGGCACUGUGGUGCGACAAGGAUAUGUGGUUGUUUUGCAUGUGGAAGGUGGGAGUCACUGUUUGUUGGCUUCAGAUUGUUCUCAAGUAGUGGAUUUGGUUU
ensembl:lncRNA